GAUGAAGAACGUAGCGAAAUGCGAUAAGUAAUGUGAAUUGCAGAAUUCAGUGAAUCAUCGAAUCUUUGAACGCACAUUGCGCCCGCCAGUAUUCUGGCGGGCAUGCCUGUUCGAGCGUCAUUUCAACCAUCAAGCCCCCGGCUUGUGUUGGGGACCUGCGGCUGCCGCAGGCCCUGAAAACCAGUGGCGGGCUCGCUAGUCACUCCGAGCGUAGUAAUACAUCUCGCUCAGGGCGUGCUGCGGGUUCCGGCCGUUAAAAAGCCUUAUUUACCCAAGGUUGACCUCGCAUCAGGUAGGAAGACCCGCUGAACUUAAGCAUAUCAAUAAGCGGAGGA
rnacentral:misc_RNA from 1 species